rnacentral:lncRNA from 1 species
AUGAGGAAGUUUCUCAAACAUAAUGGAACAAUCCUUGAUAAGUGCUGGCACCCUGAGGAUUAUCAGUCUGAUUCUUGGUCUUCCAGCACCCAGCACAGGCUACUCCAUCAGCUGGGAGAUCUGCGACAAUCCCCAGUUUAUUAUUGGAGGAGCUACCCGCACAGACAUCUGCCAAGGAGCCCUGGGUAAGUGACGUCAGCGGCGCAGGCGCGGUGGGGCGGGGCUUGUCUGCAAGGCUGUGCCUGGAAGGCCUCGGGAUGAUCUCGGCUCCUCUCCCUUGCCAAGCGUUUGGCAGUUCCCAUUUCCAGAAGCUUCUUGGAAUGUCUUGUCCCCCGAGGGCCCCGUGCCUCAGCACACAAAACACAUGGAUGUGCAGGGAGGGCUCCUGUGUCCCCUGCGCUGGGCUGGUGAUGUGACACAGACACUUCCACUGGAGGACGGAGGAGCUUCUGGAUCUCAGCCCUCCCGGAGCCAGUGUCACUAGUGCCCCGGGGACCAGUCAGGCUCCCGCCCGAGGGCCAGCUGGGCGGCCUGACCCAGGCUGGUUGAGGCACUGAGACACCAGUUCUCUGCAGCUCAGGGAUGGGAGGGUGACUCAGUGUGAAGGAAAAGGAAACCCUCAGUCACACCAGGGCAUUCUCAGUGUUUGCAAGGCAGAUCACCAUGGUAGCACAACAGUGGACUCGGUGCUCAUUGUCACAGAGGCAGUUGUUACAUUCAUGCAACCAGGUGUCCCCAGAGUAGCUGAAUUGUGACUCUGAAACUUUGCUCUCUGAGGCAGCGCUCUGGUUUUUCAGGAUAUAGUACCUGCUGAGAUUGGAACGUGCAGGGUCGCCAGCUUUGGCCUGAAAGCCCCCCCUCCCCGAGGCUUCUCUGAAGAAGUCGUAACCAAGGGUCCUGGGACUAUUUAUUAUUUGAGAGUCUCUUAGAAUCCACCCUUAUUUUUUUACUCGCAGUCAGUAUGGGCCUGUGAUCACUGGCGCAGAUCAUUUGCUGCAAUAAGCAAAAACUAGUUGUGUGCCCUCGGCCUGGACUUGCUCUCCAGACUAGCCCCUCAGUGACAAACUGAUCAUCUUGAACUGCAUCUCCUGGCCCACCCAGCAGAGAUGCUGUCCUGGGAGUAACUGGUUGA